UACUUUUGGCGGUGGAUCACUCGGCUCAUGCAUCAAUGAACGACGCAGCUAGCUAUGGGAACUAAUGUUAAUUGCAGGACACAUUGAUCAUCGACACUUCGAACGCACCUUGUGACACGCCUGUCUGAGGGUCA
rnacentral:rRNA from 1 species